CUAUUUUAAGACACAGUGUUGCGUGGGAACUAGAAACCAUGAUGGAAGUGAAAUAUUAGGCUACCAGUUAUUUUCCACAUCAUAAAGGUUGUCCAACAUCAUAAAGGUUGUCCAACAUCAUAAAGGUUUUCCAACAUCAUAAAGGUUUUCCAACAUCAUAAAGGUUGUCCAACAUCAUAAAGGUUUUCCAACAUCAUAAAGGUUUUCCAACAUCAUAAAGGUUGUCCAACAUCAUAAAGGUUGUCCAACAUCAUAAAGGUUGUCCAACAUCAUAAAGGUUGUCCAACAUCAUAAAGGUUGUCCAACAUCAUAAAGGUUGUCCAACAUCAUAAAGGUUUUCCAACAUCAUAAAGGUUGUCCAACAUCAUAAAGGUUUUCCAACAUCAUAAAGGUUGUCCAACAUCAUAAAGGUUUUCCAACAUCAUAAAGGUUGUCCAACAUCAUAAAGGUUGUCCAACAUCAUAAAGGUUUUCCAACAUCAUAAAGGUUGUCCAACAUCAUAAAGGUUGUCCAACAUCAUAAAGGUUUUCCAACAUCAUAAAGGUUUUCCAACAUCAUAAAGGUUGUCCAACAUCAUAAAGGUUUUCCAACAUCAUAAAGGUUGUCCAACAUCAUAAAGGUUUUCCAACAUCAUAAAGGUUGUCCAACAUCAUAAAGGUUUUCCAACAUCAUAAAGGUUGUCCAACAUCAUAAAGGUUUUCCAACAUCAUAAAGGUUUUCCAGCAUCAUAAAGGUUUUCCAACAUCAUAAAGGUUGUCCAACAUCAUAAAGGUUUUCCAACAUCAUAAAGGUUGUCCAACAUCAUAAAGGUUUUCCAGCAUCAUAAAG